rnacentral:rRNA from 1 species
CCUGGUUGAUCCUGCCAGUAGUCAUAUGCUUGUCUCAAAGAUUAAGCCAUGCAUGUGUAAGUAUAAACUAAUUCAGACUGUGAAACUAUGAAUGGCUCAUUAAAUUAGUUAUAGUUUGUUUGAUGGUAUCUACUACUCGGAUAACCAUAGUAAUUCUAGAGCUAAUAGUGCAUCAAACCUUGACUUCUGGAAGGGAUGCAUUUAUUACAUAAAAGGUCGACACGGGCUAUGCCUGUUGCUUUGAUGAUUCAUGAUAACUCGAUGGAUCGCACGACCUUUUUGUCGAUGACGCAUCAUUCAAAUUUUUACCCUAUCAACUUUCGAUGGUUGGAUAGUGGCCUACUAUGAUGGUGAUGGGUGAUGGAGAAUUAGGGUUUGAUUUUGGAGAAGGAGCCUAAGAAAUGGCUAUCACAUCCAAGGAAAGCAGUAGGCACGCAAAUUACCUAAUCCUGACACGGGGAGGUAGUGACAAUAAAUAACAAUAUCGGGCUCUAUGAGUCUAGUAAUUGGAAUGAAUACAAUCUAAAUCCCUUAACGAGGAUCCAUUGAAAGGUAAGUCUGGUGCCAGUAGCCACAGUAAUUCCAGCUCUAAUAGCGUAUAUUUAAGUUGUUGCAGUUAAAAAGCUCGUAGUUGGAACUAGGGUUAGGUUGUCUGGUUUCCUCACAAUGAGCACCGAUCUACUCAUCCCUACUAUCGGUGACGCGUUCCUAGACCUAAUUGCACGGGUCAUUCCUCUGGCGCUGUUACUUUGAAAAAAUUAGAGUGCUUAAAGUAGAUCUACACUUGUAUACAUUAGCAUGGGAUAACAUCAUAGGAUUUCAGUCCUAUUGUGUUGGCCUUCGGGAUCGGAGUAAUGAUUAACAGGGACAGUCAAGGGCAUUCGUAUUUCAUAGUCAAAGGUGAAAUUCUUGGAUUUAUGAAAGAUGAAUAACUGUGAAAGCAUUUGCCAUCGAUGUUUUCAUUAAUCAAGAAUGAAAACUGGGGGCUCGAAGAUGAUCAGAUACCGUCCUAGUCUCAACCAUAAACGAUGUCAACCAGGGAUCAACAGAUGUUACUUUUAGGACUCGGCCAACACCUUAUGAGAAAUCAAAGUCUUUGGUUUUCGAGGGGAGUAUGGCUACAAGGCUAAAACUUAAAGGAAUUGAUGGAAGGCACCACUAGGAGUGGAGCCUGCGGCUUAAUUUGACUCAACACGGGGAAACUUACCAGGUCCAGACAUAGUAAGGAUUGACAAACUGAAAGCUCUUUGUUGAUUCUAUGGGUGGUGGUGCAUGGCCAUUCUUAGUUGGUGGAGUGAUUUGUCUAGUUAAUUCUGUUAAAAAAUGAGACCUCAGCUUGAUAACUAGCUAUGCGGAGGUGAUCCUUCGUGGCUAACUUCUUAGAGGGACUAUGGCUGCUUAGGCCAAGGAAGUUUGAGGCAAUAAUAGGUUUGUGAUGCCCUUAGAUGUUCUGCACCGCACAUGUGCUACACUGAUGUAUUCAACAAGUCUAUAGCCUUGGCCGACAGGCCUAGGUAAUCUUUGCAAUUUCAUCGUGAUGGGGAUAGAUCAUUGCAAUUGUUGGUCUUUAACGAGGAAUUCCUAGUAAGCGCGAGUCAUCAACUCACGUUGAGUACGUCCUUGCCUUUGUACACACCGCUCGUCACUCCUACCGAUUGAAUGGUCUAGUGAAGUGUUCGGAUCGCGAUGAUGUGGACAGUUCACCGCCUAUGACAUCGUGAGAAGUCCACUGAACCUUAUCAUUUAGAGGAAGGAGAAGUCGUAACAAGGUUUCCAUAGAUGAACCUGUAAAAG